rnacentral:lncRNA from 1 species
AUGAUGUUGUGAGCAUUCUAUUACAUAUUUUUUUGAUAUCCAUUUGUUCACAUUUACCUAAAUUCUCACAUUUAAUAUUCAGAAGAGUCUCCUGAAGGACAGGCUAUUUCGACCAUUUUUGAACUUAAUCAGCAAUAAAAAAUCUAAGGUCAACAGCAGAUAUUUUAAAAUUUGUUAUUGGCCUAGGAGUACCAGUAAUUUCUCAAGUAUACUUUAAUGAAGGGAAAAAAAAUGGGUUCUUCAUGUUCCACCUAAUUGUACAAUACUGUGUCUGAGUCUGAAUCUAGAAGCUGAAUCAAGAUGAAUAGAACCAUUACAGCGAAACAUUUCUUUUCUGUCACCAAUAUUUCCAUCUGUGUGAUGAUAGCUGAAGAGUAUACUUACUUGGCCUUUAUCUACCAAUAUUAUAGUUUGAAUUUUC